rnacentral:lncRNA from 1 species
GAAUUCCACUGCUUUUUGAAACAACCUUCCACCUUCAAUAGUCAAUAAUAAGGACUACCACAGAAGGAGAAUGGGGUCCCAAUCUGCAAUUGGAAUGGGUUUGAAAUUUCCAAUUCCAUACUUUGAACAGUAUCCCAAUAUGGAGUAGGUGGCAGUAUUAUUGGGGCCUUCACUAAGUAUUGAAUUCUAGUAAUACCUGGACUGCCAAGUCCCCAUUCUCAUAGGGCUUAAAUUCCAUUGGGAGUAGGUGGGGAGCCAGCAUCAAUAGUAGCAAUUUGAUAUUUGUACAGCCAAUUACCAUCUUCCUGGUACCUUCUCAUACAGUGUUAGAUUUAAUACUCAAGCCAUACUAUAAUAUUUCUAUGCUCAGCCAUUGUCUUGCACAAGGAUGAGCUCAUCAAUGGCACAGCCAGCCUGAUGGCCCUGGCCACACACUCCCUUCUCAGUCCACUGCUGGUGAGGAAGGAAGACGGAGAGUAAGGUCCAAUGUUCUGUCUGUUCUCAUCAAUGCCUGUUUCUGGGUCCUAAGUGCAGCUAUAAAGUCUACACUCCUCUAUGAUUUUGAGAGGGAUACAGUUGAUUUUAAAACUGCUAGGCUAUUGUUCCCUCUCACUCUCUUUGAAAUAGCAAACCUGAACAAUCAUUGAUCUUGUUUCUUUCAUGUUACAAAGAAAAGGGCAUUGACUAUGAUGUUUGUUCUGGAGAAAUGGGCUGCCAAACGAUCCCAAAUCCUGACCUCCCCUGACAAGUUACUGUCAUCUAAGGGCUGCCUUUAAUUGAGCCAACAUCUGGAAAGAAUAGAACCUUUAAGUGACAGUGUUGGAAAAAGACUGCCUUUUAAAAUUCAUUGCUGAAGUUCUUCCAGGAACAGCUGAUCACAAGCCAUCUGUAGACUACAGAUGAGGGGACUUCAGGAUGCCACAUCAUUAAGAGCCAACUUUCAAAUGCCUGUACAGUGACCCACAACUCAGGUAAUCACUACCAUUUUGAAACAGAAAAAGCCAAGGGAAUGGAACUGAGCACCUUCAAAGUGUUCUUUCUGUGAACAUCCACAGUACAAAUUCUAUCCCUCUUCAGCCCCCCAGCCCCGCCCCAUAUUUCACCUCUAAUUGCACCUCCAGAACUGUAGGCUCAAGAACAUAUCUCUUUGGAAAAUCUAUAACAAUCUUAGAAUUAAGAAGAAAAAAGUGAUACAUCCUUUGGAUGCUGUACCAGACGCUGCGUGGGACCCUCUGGAUGUCAAAAUAAUUGGGCAAGGCUCCUGCUCCCCAGCCACUCACAGUGCAGUUGGCAGGACAUAACUGCCAACAAUUAUUACAAAACAAAGUCACCUGUGUCAUAACAGGGUUAAGUGCAGGGUGCUGAGGGAGGCUGGGGAGGGUGACUGACAGCCACUGCCUGGGAGGGUGGACAAAGGCAAUGAUAGAGCUGUUUCUGGAAUGAAGACAUCACAGAGUGAUCAGCUUGCGUGGGAAGGAAUGGGGAUGGAAAAGAGGAAGGUGCAGCAUUCAGUGCGGCCGCAGUUAGAUCAAAGUGUCUCUGAGCUAUUAUCUUACUCAUGGUGAAAAAGCAAUAAAAGGCAUCUUUCCUUGGAAUGUGGUCACGGUCAGGUACUAUUUCCUCCUUCCUCACCGCUGCCUGCCUCCACUGAUAGGAAACUGUCUCAGACACUGGAAUGAAGCAACAACCAAGGUCUUCAAAGAUAAAACAAAGUGAAAAAAACUGGGCAUUUGGGUCAAGGAUCCUGUAGGUGUCCUGGUCUGGUCAGUUUCCCAAUGGAGCUUUCUGAAUGCUGUGAGCACGUGUGCCCGUCACAGUGAAAACCAGCUAAAAAGACUCUGCACACUGUAGGCGAGGCCUCGGUGCCACAGGCAGGUGGCCUCUGACCCCACGGCAGCCUGCGGUCAUCAAAACCAGAAUCUCCCAGUGGAGGCCUAUUGUGGGCAGGCCCAGAAAGGCAGGAGAAACAGAAGAGGAAGGGGUGAGGGGCCUAGAACGACAACCUCAGGGUGAAGAGGUGAGACAAGAAGAAAGGCAAAUGGCAGUGCACGUUUCCCAUGACAGUCAAGGCCCUGGUGUUGGGAAACACUGACCCAGUCCAACGGACAAAUGACAACAUGGGACAUCAUGUGACUGGAGCUUCUAAUCAUCUUCCUAACAAAGAACUGCAAGCGACAAAGGAUCUCCUGUGAGUCAGAAUUUGGUCAAGAAUUUCAGUGCAUCUUGAUGCUGAUUGAGAAUACCACCUGAAACUGAUCUGAAGUAAUAACAGGCUAGCAACGUAAUCAUCUCUGUGUUGGUCCAUGCUUGAAUGAAUGUACACGGAAUCUUGGGUAAACGAGACAGGAUUUGGUUUUUCACUUGUGUCUAAAAAUAAAUAAUAGUGUAUUGUUGCCUCUGGCCCAAUGUACAAAUUUUAUAAAAUAUACUGCGGCACUUCUGAGCUCUUGAAUCUUUACCCAACUCUUUUCCAACCACACCAUCACUUUGAAUGACAACCUCCCAGUUUGUAUUUCAAGGUUUGGCUGAGUGGAAAA